CCGGGGCGCGCCCCGGGCGGGGCGGGGGCACGGGGGGAACGCGAAGAACCUUACCAGGUCUUGACAUCCUCUGAAAACCCUAGAGAUAGAACUUCUCCUUCGGGAGCAGAGUGACAGGUGGUGCAUGGUUGUCGUCAGCUCGUGUCGUGAGAUGUUGGGUUAAGUCCCGCAACGAGCGCAACCCUUGAUCUUAGUUGCCAUCAUUAAGUUGGGCACUCUAAGGUGACUGCCGGUGACAAACCGGAGGAAGGUGGGGAUGACGUCAAAUCAUCAUGCCCCUUAUGACCUGGGCUACACACGUGCUACAAUGGACGGUACAAAGAGCUGCAAGACCGCGAGGUGGAGCUAAUCUCAUAAAACCGUUCUCAGUUCGGAUUGUAGGCUGCAACUCGCCUACAUGAAGCUGGAAUCGCUAGUAAUCGCGGAUCAGCAUGCCGCGAU
rnacentral:rRNA from 1 species